UUUAGCGCCAGACAUUAAUCACAUCAGAUUAUUUUUUUAAGAUGAAGUAGUACAUAAGGAGAUGAACAUUUCAAAUCUUAAUUCUGUUUCAUCUUUAUCUAAACGUGUAUGGUUGAAAAAUAUAUUGAUUUUGUCGCACAAAUCUCGCAAAUAAUGAAUGAAUAUCAUCCGACUCCUGCAGACGCUCUUUGAUGAGAGGAACAUUCUCUUAUCAUGUGUCGUGAUAAAAAUCAAAUUAAAUUAAAAUAACGAGAUAAUAUAAAGAUUAUGAUGAUACAGUGUCUGUAUACCCAAGUAUGAGCUGGUUAAAGAUGCAAGCUUCACUAAAACAGACUUUGGUGAUCACAUUUAAUUGCCAAGUACAGACCAAGAUGACAGUUUCACUUCACUGACCAAGCAUGAUUUAAAAGAAGAACAAUGGCUGAAAAUCUAACACCUUGCAGUGGAUGCAAUUACCCUUGUCAAAUUGGGUGAUUGAACCACAACCCCAAAUCAACAUGUUCAGAUUCUUCAAGACAGAUCAUUUUAGGCAAAAGAUAUAAAGAUGCAAAAGAGGUAAGUACGCAGACACUCCUAGCCAAUUUCACUACUUUCAUAUACAUGUAUCAUUUUUCUGUUGUUCAGUAUAGUCCACGCGUUUUCCCCAAU